GCCAAAUUCAAAAGGGUUCACAUACUUUUCUGAGCCACUGUAUACAAAAAAUAAGAAGUAUGUGCAUACUAAAUUUAGAAAAAUCAUCAUUAAACCGAGUUAAACCAUGCUAAAACAUUAUUUUAUUAUAUUUUUUUUAACUGAAUGAAGCUAGUGAGUUGUAAAGCAUUGCAAAGGGUGAAUUAUUCACUAAAAUGUCCGUGGAAUGAGGCUCACAGUUCCAUGGCUCCUACAGGUUUUUAAUGGUGAAAUGAACUAAAAAAUACUAACCUACCUACAAUAAAUUCCUUUGUUCAGCUCCCCCACGCUCUGAGAGGGGCAGCAGAGGAGAUAUAGGAGGGAUGGACCACAGGAUCAGCCACUCACCUAGCUCCUCCUGCAGAAUGUGGGAGGUGUCUGCUCAGAGUUUAUUCAGAGUUUAUUCAGAGUUUGUGUGAGAAAGACCGCCAAACAACACGCGUGGAGGAAAGUAAAUGAGGCUGAUGUUUCUUCAAAACGCGAUUGCAUCAACAGUCAGACUCUUGGGACAUUGAUCAGAAUCACCAAGAUAAUUUACAUUAUCUAUGGUGUCAACAAUGGCAAAGCUUGGAUGUGGAGAUUGCUGUGCAGAUAACACAAAAAUCCUUGAGACCAUUCUGAAGGGAAAGCACUACAAUUCACAUGAGGAACAGACAGCAUUGGAAUGCCACUGGAAAAAAACGUCAUCAGUUACCAGUGACAAGAUUGCAUCACAGCCUCAAGACCUUGAUAAAUCUUGUGUAUACCAAGCACAAGUUUGUCAUUCUGAAUGGGCACCAAUGGGAAAAAAAGACUCUGGUUGCAGGGAGAACACAAAUCAAGGCAGUGCUGGGCAGAACUCAAACCAACGUGGAUAUAUAGGACUGUUCUCGGGGGAAAUGGCUCCUUUAAACUUGACUGUACAUAGAAUUUUGAACAGUGCAACCCACAGCAGUAUGCAAAACUGCCAUCAACAAGUAAGCAAUGUUAAUGCCUUGCCCAAGGACUGCAUCCAACAAAGAGCACACACUGAUAUCAGUAUUCAUCCCAGUGUUUCACAUCAAUCUGGUCUUGGGAAUAAAGGCAGCAAAAUGCCAGAUGAUCUAAAUGCAAGUAAGAUGCAGGAAUGUGUUCCACUCAAAAAAAGGAAAAAGUAUUUGGUUCAAGUGACUGAGGAUAAUCCUGGAUAUGAAUUUUCUGCUAAAAACAAUGUUUCAACAGUGGAUCAAACGGGCAGUCCAGAUAAAUUGUGUGUAAAACGCACAUUGGAUAAUGGCAUAAGACCCUUUACUAAGCAGUUUGAAAAGAGCCAUCCUGUGACUUGGUCUAAACCUGUGCAGCCUUAUCAGCAAGUGUACAUGCACAAAAAAAAUGUUGCUAUUGUUUUUCCAUUACCGCUGGAAGUUGUAGAAUGUUUUAAGUCCUUAACGAACCCCACAAAGGACUCUAAAGUUAGUGAAGAAGGUGUUAAAGCAAGACCUGUUGGCCCACACCCUGAACCUGCACUGCUGCACCCAACAACAAAGGAAAGUGACUUGAUUUCCAGUAGCACAAGUUCUAGUGUGGCACAAACAAAUCAUGGUUCACCAGAAAUGAUCACACAGUGUUUGCCAGAGACUGGAUUUUCUCAGUGCUCCAGACCAGAAGCUCCUAUUCAGGCUAAAGACACGUCCCACCAAAAAGACAGUUUGUACUCUGUGCCUUUGUCCUCGACUAGUGUCUGUAUGAGAGAAGAAUCAUCUAACAUGGAUAAUCAGUGCAGUGCUGGCCAUAUUCAUGAAGAUGUUACCACAACAAAUGAAAGAAAUAUUAAUGGUUCAGAAAGUCAGUCGGUCACUGAAGACAAUGAACAGUGGUCUCUUCAGAGGUUGCAAAGAUUAAUGUUUGACUUGGAGAAAAAGCAGUCAAUGUCUCGUAAGGAGGUCCAUUUUGCAGACCUUUCAAGUGAGAUUCUUAGGUUGUUUUGGAAUGAAGAUUUUCAAGAACUUUGUGAAACUGCUAAAUCAGAUUAUUAUGUCAAUAUCAUGAAAGAAGUUAAACUUUACAGUGGAAAGAGAAAUUCUGUAAUACUUCAAGAAUGUAGAACAUUGCAGGACUUGGACCAUGUUGCAGAGGAUCUUCACAACACUAGGCAAAACCCUGUGGUACCCACAGUUGAGUCAGAAUCAUUCCAGUCUUCAGUGUUGAAUCCUAGUGAUUGCAAUAAGAGCACAGCCAAAGUCAAUAAUGAUGAAAUAAGAAUGGAAAGAGAUGAAAAUGUAAAAGUUCCUGAGAAUUAUGUGGCAGCAACAUCAACACAGGCACAAAGUCAGCCUCUACUGACUGUACAUGAAAAUAACUGUAGUGUUGAAGAAGAUCUUGCUAGAGUGUUAACAGAUAAGUCGACGGACAUGGAUGUUGAACAUAAAGACGAUUAUUCAAACAGAGGACCAGUCGAAACAAAGAAGCCUGUGUUUGAUUGCUUAAGUAAGCCAACUUUAACUGAGUGUCCUGACAACAGUAAGAAUGUAACGGUGAACAGUGAAAAAGGAGAGGAACUCCCUGAAAAUAAAACUGCAAGAAAUGAAGUCUCUUUAGUGAGGUCUUUGAAUGAGCAAUCACUUGCGAUGAGUGAUAACUGCAUGCAUGUAAAUUCAGAAGAAGACCAGCCCACAACUGAGAUGACUUGUUCAUUAGAAGACUGUAACAAUGCAGAUUCAACAGACUGUUGUUCUUUCUUGGAAAUAAACGUUCUUUCACCAGAAACAGCCAAGAAACUUUAUUUUACUGAGCCAAAGAAAGAUGUCAAGACAAUACACAAAGAUGUCUCCGUAGAGACCUGUACAGAGAAAACCGACCAAGUCAUUGUUUAUCAUUGUGACUUUAUUCCUGAGGAUGACACGCAGAUAAAUACUAAUGUGAAGCUAGCUAAGAAUAACAUUGGAAAUGAUGGCGCACAACAAGUCAAACAGUACUGCUGUCUUGCUAAAUGGUUCCAGGAUUUGGGGUAUGCAUUUAACGUUCCAUGUGCGUGUAAGAAAAACACUGCCAAAAGAGUGACUGAAGAGAGCAGCAACAUUCCAAGUGAUGCCAACACAGAUAAUCUUGAGAUUGAGGAGGUAAUCACAGAUUAUGAGGAUGUACGUAAAAUAGCAAGUGCAAUAUCUGUGCACCAAAUGAAUGAACCCCUUAGAACAGGUGGGACACGUGAAUUCAAGAAGGGAAAGCCGGCACAUGAUUCCUGCAAGAACAAAACCACCAACCACACCAGUUGCAGCAAGUUAGUCGCAAAGUCUGACCUUAUUCCAUACCUCGGUCAGGACCUGUCACAGGGGGACUCGUCUUUCCCCUUAACACCUACAGGUUCAGAUCUUCAAGUUGAAGAAAAGGACAAAAAGAUCACGACUCCAGAGGUCCAGAAGGAGAAACGGACGGUAAAUCUGGCAUUAUUUGGAUUAUCUAGUCUGAAUCACAAUAAAACAGUAGGAGUAACAAGGAAUAAUCCUGAAAAGAAAACAGGUUUUGGAAUCAGAUCUUUUGAUACAGAGCAUUUCCCUCCAGCAACUCUUAAUGUAAGAGUGAAUAAUGCAGUCAGGUUAAAUAAUGAUGCCAUUGGGAGGCAAACUGCAAAACAACGCAUUUUGAAAUCCUGGCAGAACAGCUUAGCACCUACACAGAUGUUUCCCGAUAAACAAUGGUCAAGGAAGCUAAAAAACGGAAGUAAAUCAAGAACUGAAACUGCAGAUAUUUUUGAAAUUGAAAAAAGUAUCACCCCUACAGCAUUUGAUGCAAUGAAGAACUUGCUGUCAACUCAACAACACAUUCAGACACAUGAAUCAGAAAUUCCAUCCCCAACAGAGCAACAGAAAACCUCAGAUGGUCAGUCAAAGAAUAAAAAAUAUUCCACCAAAAGGAAUAAAAAGAAGAAUAGGAUACUUGAUUCAAUUAGUCUUACCAGGAGAAAGAAAGGACUGUAUGCACAUAAGAGUAAAUCAAGUGCUUCGUCCGUUGAGCUACCCUGCCCUUUGGGCCAAAGUAAACAUGAAUCAAGCAAGCGUUCCAUGCUUGAUUACAGAAUCCUGCCAGAAACUUUCAGCUUCAGAGAUGGUGGCAGUUUGAUGAAAGCACAUCAGUCUAAAGACGCAGCUUAUGGUCAAAAAACUGAAACUGAAAUGCCAAAGAAGAGGACAGUGGAAAAUCUAGUAAUAGGCGUUUGGUGUGUCAGCCCUAAGAAGAAAGGAAAGCUUAAGUCCACUUUACCCUCCAGUUCUUCUGUGUCAGCCAGCACCUUCCAAGAAUUCAAGAAAAGAUAUGAAGAAAAAAAGAUUGUGCAUCCUAAAACUAUUUGAGAAUAUGCUAGAAAACUUUAUAAAUCAAAACAUUUUCUGUACUAGAUAUAUGUAUUGAUCUAAUGAGAAGGAGAUGUGGAACCCCUGGACAAGAUUGCACUGCACACUCCAUUUAAGGCUGUUAGCUGCUCCAAGGAUUAUGUUUGUGUGCAAUGUUUGAUACUGUAAAAUACUGGUUUUGGUGAUUUUCAUUUAUAAACCUGUACCUACUAUCACUGUUUAAUUUUAUGAUCAUAUAUGCACAAAAUACAUUGUAUGUAUUUAAAUAUUAUGUCAUUUUUAAAGAUAGAUAGAUAGAUCAAAAGUCAUAGGAUGGCUGUAGACAAAUUGCUCAUUAAUUAUUACUUUGAGUGAGUGAUGGCUUGGGAAAGUUUACAAAGUGUUGCAGGCUUUUAAUGUUACUCAAACCAGUGUGUUUAUAUGUGUGUAGGAAACAAGGGAGGAAUAAUUGGUAACAGGCAUUGCCAUCCACAGUGUACAGUGCAGUGGCUAUUAAUAAAAUGGACCGGUGGUGUUUGGCUACA
ensembl:lncRNA